CCCCUAGAUGUUCUGGGCCGCACGCGCGCUACACUGAACAGUUCAACAAGUCUUAACCUUGGCCGAUAGGUCUGGGUAAUCUUUGAACGCUGUUCGUGAUUGGGAUAGACCUUUGCAAUUAUGGGUCUUCAACGAGGAAUUCCUAGUAAACGCAAGUCAUCAGCUUGCAUUGAUUACGUCCCUGCCCUUUGUACACACCGCCCGUCGCACCUACCGAUUGAAUGGUCCGGUGAAAUUCUCGGACGCGGACUUGCGAUGUUAAUUCGGAGCUUGACUGUGAAAGUUAAUUAAACCUUACCAUUUAGAGGAAGGUGAAGUCGUAACA
rnacentral:rRNA from 1 species